rnacentral:snoRNA from 1 species
AGAUGAUGAUGUGUGAUUUAGUUUCCCUAUUGGUUUGAUUGCCGAGAUGAUGGCUCUCAUUUGUAUUAGCUCUAUCUGAUCAUCG